UACAGAGGUGCCAAGCGUUAGGCGGAAUCACUGGGCUUAAAGCGCGCGUAGGCGGCUCGGAAAGUCGGUCGUGAAAUGCCGGGGCUCAACCCCGGGACUGCGUCCGAUACUUCCGGGCUGGAGGUAGGUAGGGGAGAUCGGAAUUCCCGGUGUAGCGGUGAAAUGCGCAGAUAUCGGGAAGAACACCUAUGGCGAAGGCAGCUCUCUGGGACGGUACUGACGCUGAGACGCGAAAGCGUGGGGAGCGAACAGG
rnacentral:rRNA from 1 species